AUUGAACGCUGGCGGCAGGCUUAACACAUGCAAGUCGAGCGGAGUGAUGGUGCUUGCACUAUCACUUAGCGGCGGACGGGUGAGUAAUGCUUAGGAAUCUGCCUAUUAGUGGGGGACAACAUCUCGAAAGGGAUGCUAAUACCGCAUACGUCCUACGGGAGAAAGCAGGGGAUCACUUGUGACCUUGCGCUAAUAGAUGAGCCUAAGUCGGAUUAGCUGGUUGGUGGGGGAAAGGCCUACCCAGGCGACGAUCUGUAGCGGGUCUGAGAGGAAGAUCAGCCACAAUGGGACUGAGACACGGCCCAGAGUCCUACGGGGGGCAGCAGUGGGGAAUAUUGGACAAUGGAGAGAACCCUGGUCCAGCCAUGCCGCGUGUGUGAAGAAGGCCUUAUGGUUGUAAAGCACUUUAAGCGAGGAGGAGGCUCUUUUGGUUAAGACCCAAGAUGAGUGGACGUUACUCGCAGAAUAAGCACCGGCUAACUCUGUGCCAGCCGCCGCCGUAA
rnacentral:rRNA from 1 species